CGGUGAUGUUCUGUGAAAUAUGUA
rnacentral:siRNA from 1 species